AUAGCCGGCCAUAGCGACGGGGUCCGACCUGGUCCCAUUUCGAACCCAGAAGUCAAACCCGUCGUCGCCGUCGUGUUAGUGAGGUGCGAGAGCCCUUGCGAAGCGGCGGUGCCGGCGCCU
rnacentral:rRNA from 1 species